AGGAGGGUCUUAUGCGCAAAAGGCUUUUCAUUAUGAUACGGCUCGGUCUGUUUUCUAUAAAGUUAGCUUUCACAUUUUCGAACUCUUAAAUUGAAUGACUACAUUUUUGUAUGUGGUUACAUACGCUACUUGCAUGGACGGAUCAUGAGACAAUGGACCCCUGGGCACAGAUAUGCAAAGAGCCCCACCACCUCUCUUGCAUAGGAGCAAGACACACCUUUGUUGUGGGGGCAGAACUCCACUUCAGGCAAAAAAUCUUCAUCCAUUGUUCAUCCUGAGACCCAGAAAAAAGAAGUUUUAAUGUUUUACUACACAAUUUAAGUCAUUGGUAGAUAAUGCUCCUUGGUUCUUGGACCCACUUACCUCUCCCUUCAUCAUUCUGACUCGGGCCAGCCACCAGCCACAAGGCUCCUGUUCGUUUGCCCUUGAGUAAACCUGUAAGGAGAUGCAAAGUAAAUGAUAGCCAAGUCAAAGACAAAAAAGAAUACAGCUAUAACACAAACUGAAGAAGUAUUUCACUGCUGGAAAUAUGGUCUUUUUUCAUAACGCGACUGUCUAUGCAGAAGAAAGAUGCAAAUACUUUUGAAAUUGGUGCUACAUGGACCAAUAAACAGUCCCACUGGUGGGUGACGUGAUGCGAGCUUGGUGACUUGAUGCGAGCUUGGUGACAUGAUGCGAGUUUGGUGAAAUGAUGCAAGCUUGUCCAUUUUGACUCAGGAAACAAUAUGGCAGCCGGCUGGUAAAAAUGAUCUCGAAUUACAAUUAAAACAGAAAGCUAAAA